GGGGAGGGGUUGUGGACUUCACAGGAGAAGAUGCGUCUGAGGACAUGCUGAUGGUGGGACACUCAAAGGAUACUGGGAAGACAGAAACGCAUCCUUGAUGACCUCCAGCACUGAAACACAAGCCUCCAGCAGCCGCAGGAGACCGUAAUUAGAUCAUUCACUGUUGAUGCUGCAAUACAUGUUUAGCCUUUCUUAGCAUUAUCUGACUGAUCCCCCACUGUCCGGGAAGAUAUUACAAAACUUGCCCUGCCGGCAGAGCAUUUGGUCAAGCCACUAGAGGUUCAAUCCCCCUUGUGGAGCAGGACUUGCUGCAGAAUCUGUUAAGUGAUGCACUGGGCACUGGAGCGCUGCAUGUUAACAUGAACGGGCCACGGAGGAUCAAGCAUCACUAAUAAUCACAGCAGGAAAUGGCACCGAAUGCAUAAUCGUGAACUCUCCCCCAUUCUCACUGCCCUCCUCAGGGCCAUUACAGCCCACACAAAUCAUAACAAGAGCGGGAUGACCACAAAAGAUGUUCCUUACGCGCAAUAAAGCAUAUUAAAUAAUUAUUUGAUUAUUUCAAAUCGCACCCAAGAAGUGGCAAAGCGGCUUUCCGGACACUCCCAGGUGGCUCUGCCAUGGCAACACACUGCCAACUGUUCCCUCUGAGAGAUGCGAAAUGAGAAAGGGCCCCUUUGUACCUUGGAUUACAUCACUGCAAUUAUAGCUUUCUGCUGUCAGGCUCAGAAUGCCCCAUAAACAGAAAAUGAGGCCAGUGAGUGUUUGAAAGCCAGGGCCAAUUAUAAAGCGCUGAUUGUGUGCUGAGGUACUGAUGCAUGGAGGAACAUUUGCUUCUGCUCUCGGUCUACCUACACAUCAGUGAAAAAGGACACAGAAUUGAUCAUCCCAUCAAGAGGAAGAAACUUCUAUAACAUAACAUUAAAAAAAAGUACCAAGGUGUGACCAUGUUUUUUUCCUGGUAUUUUAACACCAUAGAAAUACCACAAUAUAUGAAUUUGCCAAACAUUUACAACAGCAGUGUAUUACUGUCACUGUACCAUGAUAUCACCACAGUGAUGUUGAAAGAAAUUCUUGUUAUAAGAAGCAGACUCUUCAGUAGUGGUUUUUAAACUUUGCCCCUCCAAAUGUAAUUUCAUUAUACCAAAGACAAUAUUUCAGGACCCCCUACCCAGGGUGUGAUAUUUCCCCUUGCACUCCGCUAAAAUAAAAACAAAGAUACUAGGGAGAAUCAAAGGAUGUAACCAGCACAUUAAAGGAGUUAUUGAGG